rnacentral:rRNA from 1 species
AGUAAUGCCUAGGAAUCUGCCUGGUAGUGGGGGACAACGUUUCGAAAGGAACGCUAAUACCGCAUACGUCCUACGGGAGAAAGCAGGGGACCUUCGGGCCUUGCGCUAUCAGAUGAGCCUAGGUCGGAUUAGCUAGUUGGUGAGGUAAUGGCUCACCAAGGCGACGAUCCGUAACUGGUCUGAGAGGAUGAUCAGUCACACUGGAACUGAGACACGGUCCAG